UAGCUCAGCUGGGAGAGCAUCUGCCUUACAAGCAGAGGGUCGGCGGUUCGAUCCCGUC
rnacentral:tRNA from 1 species